GUCACGAUAGCUCAAGUGGUAGAGCAGCGGCGUUUUUAGCCGAAGGUCGUGGGUUCGAAUCCCAAUCGUGACA
rnacentral:tRNA from 1 species